GUAGUUGGUGCGGGUAACGGCCCACCAAGCCAGCGAUCAGUAACUGGUGUGAGAGCACGACCAGUCACACGGGCACUGAGACACGGGCCCGACUCCUACGGGAGGCAGCAGUAAGGAAUAUUGGUCAAUGGACGCAAGUCUGAACCAGCCAUGCCGCGUGAAGGAUGAAGGCCCUCUGGGUUGUAAACUUCUUUUAUCUGGGAAGAAACCACUUUUUUUUAAGGGUGUUGACGGUACCAGAGGAAUAAGCACCGGCUAACUCCGUGCCAGCAGCCGCGGUAAUACGGAGGGUGCAAGCGUUAUCCGGAUUCACUGGGUUUAAAGGGUGCGUAGGUGGGAAUGUAAGUCAGUGGUGAAAUCUCCGUGCUUAACAUGGAAACUGCCAUUGAUACUAUGUUUCUUGAAUUUUCUGGAGGUAAGCGGAAUAUGUCAUGUAGCGGUGAAAUGCUUAGAUAUGACAUAGAACACCAAUUGCGAAGGCAGCUUGCUACAGGGAUAUUGACACUGAGGCACGAAAGCGUGGGGAUCAAACAGGAUUAGAUACCCUGGUAGUCCACGCCCUAAACGAUGGAUACUCGACAUUUGUGAUACACAAUAAGUGUCUGAGCGAAAGCAUUAAGUAUCCCACCUGGGAAGUACGACCGCAAGGUUGAAACUCAAAGGAAUUGACG
rnacentral:rRNA from 1 species